rnacentral:rRNA from 1 species
UACGAAGGGUGCAAACGUUGCUCGGAAUUAUUGGGCGUAAAGCGCACGUAGGCGGCUUGGCAAGUCGGAUGUGAAAUCCCUCGGCUCAACCAAGGAAGUGCAUCCGAAACUGCUGAGCUUGAGUACGAAAGAGGAUCGCGGAAUUCCCGGUGUAGAGGUGAAAUUCGUAGAUAUCGGGAGGAACACCUGUGGCGAAGGCGGCCGGCUGGGGGUACCCUGACGCUGAGGCGCGACAGCGUGGGGAGCGAACCGG